rnacentral:misc_RNA from 1 species
AAAAAAGGAAAGAAAUUGAAAUUAUGACAUCAUAAGGAUGUCAUUAAAAGUCUCCAACCCAAUCAAGUGUUGAUACAUGUCACCAAGGUAUAUAAAAGAGACAAAGGGGCUGGAAAAGGAACAAAAAAAAUCAGACUUCUUCUCCCUUUCUCCUUCCUUACGUGACAAACCCAUCCACCAUUGCCAACCAUAGCAAGCUUUUUCAAAGCUUGAUUUCCUUAGCUCUCACCCCACUAAACCUUAUACUCCCAAAACAAAAAAGUGUCCUUACCCCUUGGUGAUUCUUUUGGGAGCAAAAAAAAAAGAAGAAAACAAGAGUUUUAGCAAGUGGGAAAAUCUCACUCCUUUGAGGUUAGUGACCUAAC